rnacentral:rRNA from 1 species
GGUCCAGACUCCUACGGGAGGCAGCAGUGGGGAAUAUUGCGCAAUGGGGGAAACCCUGACGCAGCCACGCCGCGUGAGUGAAGAAGGCCUUCGGGUCGUAAAGCUCUGUCGGGAGAGACGAAGGGGUAAAGCUCUGACGGUAUCUCGCAAGAAAGCACCGGCUAACUCUGUGCCAGCAGCCGCGGUAAUACAGAGGGUGCAAGCGUUGCUCGGAUUUACUGGGCGUAAAGCGUACGCAGACGGACCGUCAAGUCGGGAGUGAAAGCCCUGGGCUCAACCCAGGAACGGCUUUCGAUACUAGCGGUCUUGAGUUUGGGAGAGGGAAGCGGAAUUCCUGGUGUAGAGGUGAAAUUCGUAGAUAUCAGGAGGAACACCGGCGGCGAAGGCGGCUUCCUGGCCCAAUACUGACGUUCAGGUACGAAAGCGUGGGUAGCAAACAGGAUUAGAUACCCUGGUAGUCCACGCUGUAAACGAUGAGUGCUGGAUGUCGGAGGUAUUCACCCCUUCGGUAUCGAAGCUAACGCGUUAAGCACUCCGCCUGGGGAGUACGGCCGCAAGGUUGAAACUCAAAGGAAUUGACGGGGGCCCGCACAAGCGGUGGAGUAUGUGGUUUAAUUCGACCCACGCGCAGAACCUUACCCAGCCUUGACAUCCUUGGAACCGAGUGGAAACACUUGGGUGCUCUCGCAAGAGAGAGCCAGGAGACAGGUGCUGCAUGGCUGUCGUCAGCUCGUGUCGUGAGAUGUUCGGUUAAGUCCGGCAACGAGCGCAACCCCUGUCUUCAGUUGCCAUCAUUCAGUUGGGCACUCUGGAGAGACUGCCGGCGUCAAGCCGGAGGAAGGUGGGGAUGACGUCAAGUCCUCAUGGCCUUUAUGGUUGGGGCUACACACGUACUACAAUGAUGACUACAAAGGGCAGCCAACCCGCGAGGGGGAGCAAAUCCCAAAAAAGUCAUCUCAGUUCGGAUUGCAGUCUGCAACUCGACUGCAUGAAGUCGGAAUCGCUAGUAAUCGCGGAUCAGCAUGCCGCGGUGAAUACGUUCCCGGGCCUUGUACACACCGCCCGUCACACCACGAAAGUCGGAUGGACCCGAAGUCGCUGCUCCGACCCGCAAGGGGGGAAGGCGCCAACGGUCUGUUCGAUGAUUGGGGUGAAGUCGUAACAAGGUAGCCGUAGGGGAACCUGCGGCUG